rnacentral:rRNA from 1 species
AAUAUAAAUUACGAAAGCAAAAAAUUAUGGCGGUAUCUUAAGCUUUUCAGAGGAAUUUGCUCUUUAAUGGAUAAAACACCCAAAUCUUACUUAGAUUGGUUAAAUCAGUUUGUAUACCACUAUAAAAAUUAUAAUUUACUUUUAUUAUUUCUCUUCUUUAAAGAAAUAAAUUAAGUCAAGGUGCAGCUAAAAUUUAAGGUUGAAGUGAAUUACAUUUCUUUAAAGAAAUAAAACAAUGAAAUAAAAUAUAGGAUUUGAUAGUAAAAUUAAAAUAGAAAGUUAA